ensembl:lncRNA
AGAACGUUAAGAUGGGAGUGACAGGGCAAGCUACUCCCUUAUCAUGGCUGUGAAGAAAAGAGAGCCAGAAAGGGACAGGAUUGCCAGUCUCUCCUUCAGGUCAGCUGCAGACCAGCCCGCUAGGCAGGCAGACACCAGGCACGAACCAGCAGCUACAGCCCAGUCCUUUCAGCAAAGAGACGCUGGCCAUGAACCAGCAGCUGUAGUUCAAUCCUGAAGAAACCACCAGGCUCACCAACUGGCCUAAGGCAAGGUCACAGAAGUCACAAGCUGCCAGAGGAACUUCAUGAGACAUUCUUGGGUGAGUUUCUGCCAAUGGCAGCGUUGUUGAGCUCAACAGUGCUAUGUAAGGCGAACCACUACAUGUGUGCCUCUGGUACAGAAUAGUGAGGUUGAGCAAACCAACCAGUGCUCAGUGCUCGUCUCCCACUGUCCGUGGGGUCAUAUUUAUACUCCUUCACCGUAGAUCCUUCCACGUGUUUGCUAUAUCAAAAACAACCUUUUACCUGUGUCUGCUUCUGGAAACCACUUUCACGUGAUUGCUUAAUGAGAUAUCCUUUCACCUAUGUGCCCAACACAUAGUUUGACAUAACUAACUUUCCAAAGAACUAGAAGUUUCUACUUUAGGAGACAGUUAUGCUAGGCUGUCUGCAAGCAUAGCAGAGUAUCACAGACUGUCAGGGGUUGGCCUUUUUGAGUGCAAAGAGCCUUAGGUCGGGGCAGUCAUGAACCCUCAAGUUGGCUGUUCUCUGCUCCAUAUUUAUCAUUGCACAUCUUGUAGGCAGGACACAUUUUGGGUGGAAAGUUUUGUGCGCGGUUUGAUGGCCCCUCCCUCCCCUGGGAGUUAGGCCUGGCUAUAGAAGGUAUAGGCCUCACCUCUUAUAGGUUUUAUCCGUUCCAAAUAGUGCCACAAGCCUUUACCACGUUGGUCUUUGAGGGACACUCAGAUUCAGGCUGCUGAGUCCAAUAAGGUUUACUGCUUUUUCUUGUUCACUGUUAAAUAUUUUUCUUA